ACUCCUACGGGAGGCAGCAGUGGGGAAUAUUGCACAAUGGGCGCAAGCCUGAUGCAGCCAUGCCGCGUGUAUGAAGAAGGCCUUCGGGUUGUAAAGUACUUUCAGCAGUGAGGAAGGUGGAGUCGUUAAUAGCGGCCUCAUUUGACGUUAGCUGCAGAAGAAGCACCGGCUAACUCCGUGCCAGCAGCCGCGGUAAUACGGAGGGUGCGAGCGUUAAUCGGAAUUACUGGGCGUAAAGGGCUCGUAGGUGGUUUGUCGCGUCGUCUGUGAAAUUCCGGGGCUUAACUCCGGGCGUGCAGGCGAUACGGGCAUAACUUGAGUACUNUAGGGGUAACUGGAAUUCCUGGUGUAGCGGUGAAAUGCGCAGAUAUCAGGAGGAACACCGAUGGCGAAGGCAGGUUACUGGGCAGUUACUGACGCUGAGGAGCGAAAGCAUGGGUAGCGAACAGGAUUAGAUACCCUGGUAGCUACGAGU
rnacentral:rRNA from 1 species